rnacentral:rRNA from 1 species
GAUGAACGCUGGCGGCGUGCCUAAUACAUGCAAGUCGAGCGAACAGACGAGGAGCUUGCUCCUCUGACGUUAGCGGCGGACGGGUGAGUAACACGUGGAUAACCUACCUAUAAGACUGGGAUAACUUCGGGAAACCGGAGCUAAUACCGGAUAAUAUAUUGAACCGCAUGGUUCAAUAGUGUAAGACGGUUUUGCUGUCACUUAUAGAUGGAUCCGCUCCGCAUUAGCUAGUUGGUAAGGUAACGGCUUACCAAGGCGACGAUCCGUAGCAGACCUGAGAGGAUGAUCAGCCACACUGGAACUGAGACACGGUCCAGACUCCUACGGGAGGCAGCAGUGGGGAAUCUUGCGCAAUGGGCGAAAGCCUGACGGAGCAACGCCGCGUGUGUGAUGAAGGUCUUCGGAUCGUAAAACUCUGUUAGUAGGGAAGAACAAAUGUGUAAGUAACUAUGCACGCCUUGACGGUACCUAAACAGAAAGCCACGGCUAACUACGUG